rnacentral:lncRNA from 1 species
GCGAGCUACGCUGCGUUCAUAAAGUCUAUGUGACACCCCUGUGAUUCUCUGAGUUCCCCCUGAGGGUCUGUACAGAACGUAUUGUGAAGAACUAGUUUGAGAAGCUGUUUACCGUCCGACUACGCAUGCGCAAGUUCCCUGCGUAGGAGAGAGCAGUUUCUACUUCAGUAUACAGUUGUAUUUCAUGUAAUGUUCGUCUAUUAUUAAACCGUGUGAAUAUUCUAGGACCACUGCGAUUGAAGGCUUAGAGAAAUAAACGUUCGGAACCUUAUUAUCAUCCUUGUGUUAUGGAGAGCGUUGAGAGAAGGAAGCCUUACAAUCCUAUCCAGAGAAAUACCACUCGGUA